UUUUGUUAAUAUUGUGUCACAUCGGCACGGAUCGAUGACAACUGGUUCUCACCAGGCACCCAACACAUGCCGACACCACCUCUAUUACCAUCAUGAUAUAUUUCAAACUGGCAUCAAAGAUAAGAAGUUCUAUUUUAAAUUCGAAUAUGGUGAUGAAUUAUAGCUCUAUAUAAACAAAUUUUAAGUCCACUUGGAUCACCAUAUAAAUUGUUAUUGUGUUCAUCUACGGAUUUUUGUGAGCAUUAAAUUUCGCAUGAACUAUCAUUGUGUUUUCCCAUAUAAUUCUAACUAAAUUUAAGUACACUUCAAUUAUGUCUCCCGUUGCAACGCAUGGGCAUUUGUGCUAGUAAUAAUAAAGCACGGAUUGACUUUGUCGGGUUCACCGUCACAAUACGCUUUCUUCUUACGUCAUAAUACGCUUUUACGAUUGUAUAGAUAAAAUCGUAAUAUAAACGAGGUGGUACUAUUAUUGUAUACGUUUCGACGUUUUGUUUUCUGCCUGUACGUCAAAUUCGCACGUAAAUCCAAUUUGGCCCAACAACGAAUCAUCCAUGAGUUUCUUUCACGGCACGGGCUAUCCCGAUCCCAGCCUCCAGGAGGCGACCGACCCCGGCGAGGCGGCGACGCUCAAUCCGGUGAUGCGCCGGGCGCCGGCCGAUGCCGGCAAGGAUUUGCCCCCUUCUCCCGGCCCACGUAUCUCUCUUGCGCCAAAUAGGGUUGGGCGCCGCCGCCGUUUUCCUGGUUGACGAUCAACCAUGGCUAGGGUUUUGGGCACCUCCACUCUGGCGUGGUUCCGGCACCUCCGGCGACUCCUCUCUGACGCCCACCGCGCCCCCACACGCAGCUCCGUCUCCGGGAUGCUGCUCCUCCGCUUGGUGGCCAUGGGAUGUGCAGGCAAGGAUUGGAUACUUGAGGAAGGAGGGGUCGACCUUGCCUUGCUGCAGCUCGGGACGCACCACCCAUGGAGAGCUUCCUCCUUUCUGUCUUCAGGUGAGUUCGCCCCCUCCUCUCUCUGCUCUUGUUCGUGGCCAUUGAGGCAUUGUUCUUGGUUAGGAUUUACCACCGUUUGGGCUCAAUUGGCUACUGUUUGAGGUCAAUUUUGUUUAUACUGUUAAGUGUUGAUUGUUUCUUGCAUUGAACAGCAAGGUUAGACAUGAAUUUGUUAGUAGAAUAGAUCCCUGUCUGAACUGAGUUGUUAGUUCAAUUGUCCAAUCUUGAAUUUAGGGAGCUGCUACUGAAAGAUUUUUUUUCAUUUUGUAUGUCAUGGGUUGGCCAUCAAUUUUAUUAAACAUCAAGGUUAACCACGAUCACACGAAGCCGAAGGUGCAUGAUGAAAAAUCCGUACGUGCAUGCUCUAUCCAUCCAGAAUUGAUCCAUCAGGCUGCUUCCAAAGCUAGCUUGAUCAUGCACUUGUGCCUCUCGGCAGACUUCUACUAACGUAUGUGAUACACAGUCCAGGCAAAAUCACAUCAUACACCAUGGAAGAAGUACUCGCGCACGUAUUCCAGAUCUACGACAAGAAUGGGGAGAUGGCCGGAAGUACACUUGGGCUCAAUCGUUGACAUGUGCAGGAGGGCAGCGGCCUUGUGAACCAAACCAAAUCGAGGAGGUCAGGGACCGGCUAGAGACCUCAUCGAGCACCGCCGUCACCGGUAGUGACAACACAGUCGCUGUGUUUGGUCUAUCCCGAGCCUCUUUUUUGUGGUUCGUGUUCUUUUGAUAUCCUCUUGCCAUGAUAUUCUAGCUGGACUUCUGCAGCUAGGCCAACAACAGAGCGAGGCUUAGCCCUGAUGAUGACUUGACAAAUAUGGUUAAAAUGCUGGAGAUGAGGAAUGUAACGAAACUGAAGAAACAGGGGGUACUCUUAGCUUUAGUUCCUUAUCAUUUUUUAUGUGCAUUGCUAUGUAUCUGUAUAAACUUGCUUCGGCCAUUGUUGUCAAUUGGCCGGCACAAGUAUUGCAUAUUUCUAGCCAUCUAGAAUAAGCGGACGAGAUGAUGUGCAUUCAUUUGGUGGCACAAAAUCAAUUUCCUUUUCCAACUAAUAGUACAUACAUUAAUAAAAUUACUGUGGUUGGCAGCUCUUCACUGCAUGUUUUGAAAUGUUUCGUGCGCUUGUCCCAUUUAAUCACUCACAAGGUUGCAACAGCAUGCUAAGUAAGCAUCCAAUUAUUCUAUUUUUUGUAACAAAAUUUUCUCUUGAUCAUCUCAUGGAAAAUGAAUCUUCUUCAAACAAGACGUGUUCUUAAUGGCAGUGCCCAAAUAUUACUUUAUAGAUACUAUUCUGAGUUCCGUUAUGUGCAGGCUUAUGCCAGUGUCUAGCUCUUACAGCACCAAAGAUAAAUAAACUCACCAGAGCGAAGUGUUUUGAAAGUGGAAGGUAUAUAAAGGUAGUUCAUCUACAUAAGUUGUUUUUCACUUGGUUCCAUGCAGCAUAAUUGAGGAUAUGCCUAACUACUGCUACCCUGAUUCUAUUUUUGUAUUUAUCUGAUGUUCUUUGUAUAGAUAUGUAUGUACUACCUCCGUCUGGAAUUAGUUGUUGCUGAAGUAGAUGGAUAUAGACGUAUUUCGGUGCUAGAUACAUCCGUUUGAGCGACAAGUAAUUCCGGACGGAGAGAGUAUCUUUUAACAUAAUCUGCUCCAAAACUCAGAAGAAGUUAUCCCAGCUUUCCAUCACACCGAAUUACUGCAUCAAGGGGUCUGAUAGUAUGAUAAUAUCCUAUGUUUGAACAAAGUUUAUAUUCUCACGCUCUCAUUUUGUCAUAAGAUGUGAAUUUUUCUCUCCUGUUGCAACACUAGGUCAUUUGCUCCAUGUGAUAUUGAGGUCUAUGGUACAAGGCUCAUAGCUUGUGAAUGUUGUUGAAAGAUAUAAUUUAGUUUUUUUAUUGGUUUAUGCAAAUUCAUGUCAAACCUUAUGCCAAUAGUUGAUGCUUCCUGACUAUUUGCACCAAUGCCCUUCUAUCCAUAGCUGAAUCUGGAGGAUACAUGAAGCGAGAGUAAUGUUAACCGACAUUGAUGCAUAAAGUUACUUGAUCAAAACAUAGAGAGUUGUGUAAGCCUUUACCGCAUUCAUGCAUUUCCAUGCUGAAUCCAGCCUCUUCAAUUGGUUUCCGCACGUGUACAUAGAACUAGCGAGUAUCCACACAUGCAUGUCUCAUCUGAAUCCGGCGUCAUUAAUUGGUCUUCUAGCCAAAUUUAGAUUUGUUCUAAGACAUAGGUUGCUAAGUUGUUGGUGAGAGAUAUAGUACUUUUCAUUUUUAAAUUAGAUGCAUUUUCUAGAGACGUAGAACUGUUGAAAUUUUAAUUACAUGCAUUUUUUCUGUUGUAAUUUCCAAUUUAGUUUAUCCAGUAUUUUAACUUUGUGUCAGAUAACCUUUUAUUCCUUUUAGGUAGUUAGAAGUUGGUCACAUACAUUGUAAUUCUUUUCCUUUCAGAAACCACCGCAAGGAUGAUGUUAUUUUACAUGUUGAAUAUGAACUAUGCAUUAGAAAUUGACA